GCUAGUAGGCAUUGACCUGAUCAGCCCAUUCAAGGAAAGAGCAGAGGGCUUCAAGUAUGUUCUCACAGGCACCUGCCUGUUCUGUAAGUGGGUUGAGGCAGAACCAAUCAGAGACAAGUCAGCCGAGGGUGUGUUUCAAGGUCUGAUGAAAUGGAUUAAUUGCCGGGGUGCACCACUUCAAAUUCUCAGCGACCAGGGGAAAGCUUACCACCCCCAGACAAAUGGCUAAAAUGAGAGAACAAAUGGAACACUUAAGCGACAUCUUUCCAAGAUGGUGAAUGAGCAGCAGAACGACUGCAACUUGUACGCUGAACAGGCUUGCUGGGGCAUCCGUUCCAGCUACGAGUCAACAAAACAUACGCCAUUUGAGGUGAUGAUUGGGCGAAAGCCACGUUUCCCAUCAGAGCUCCCAGAGGGAAUUGAUCACGAGUCGAUCAGCCACAAUGACCCUGCACCAAAUUAAGUUGUUGAAUAUGUCAGCAACACACAAGAAAAGCAGUCAGCAGUCCAUGAUAAAGUGACAACCAACAAUGAGGCUGCCAAAGAAAAACAAAAGAAGUAUUACCAGCUAAAGCACAUGAAAGGAUUCAAGUCAUACAACUUUGCUGUUGGCCAACAGGUUUAUGCUGAUUGCUAAAUGUUCUGCCCUAACAUUAUGGGAAAACAAAGUUUAGUGGAACUUUGCUGUUCACAAGGACAGAGCUUACAGUAUUCUGUAUAGAUUGUUUAUUAUAAGUAGUGCUGUAUGAUUUCUUUUUAGGUUAUAAAAGCUAACCACAAGAAGCUUGGGGGUCCCAAGGGAGACAGAAUGGCACCAGACUGAGAUCACUGAGCUGACAGGACACCAAGCAGUUCUCCAGAACAGCAAGACAGGCCAAGUGUUAAAGAGCAUUUAUCUGCAACACCUCAAGCCUUUCAAGGAAACUCCACCUUCUUCUCAACAAUCACUGUCUAACCUUAAUUCAACACCAGCACCAACAGAGUUAUCUGGACUCUCUUAGACAGACAGUGGGUUCAGAUUCUGAACACAGGACAGCACUGGGUGACAGCCAGCAACAUCAUUUCACAAGAUACUGUACAGGUGUAUGAUAGUUUGUACAGCAGCAAAGCCUCCAAAAAGACAACAUCACAGCUCUCUGUCCUUUCAUACUUGUUCUCCGAAAACAGCCAACUGACAAAUCAGUAUAUGAAUACUCGGAGACAGAACGGAACUUCUGAUUGUGGGCUCUUUGCAGUAGCUGUGGCCACUGCUCUUUGCCAAGGACAGGACCCAAAUUCACUGUUGUUUUGCCAGGGCAGCAUGAGACAACACCUCAAGUCUUGCUUUGAGACUGGGUGGCUGAAACCUUCCCCAUAAAAAAAAAAGCAAUGUGUCCAUCAAGGUUAAAGCACAAGAGACAAUUUAGAUGAGCUUUCUGGGGAAAAUGUGAAAAAAUAUGUAAUUAGGGGAAUUGUACAUAGACAUGAUUGAUUAUGUGAGGUUGUGUAUAUUGUUGUAGCUAUGAUGGUACUGAAUAUAUUGAUAAUAAAAGAACAUGUUUUGAUGAUGUGUGAUUUUAAUGAUGGAUGAACAGUAUGGAUGAUGAGUGAUAUUGAAAGAUUAAAAUAUAGUGCAAAUACGAUGAUGUGUGACUUUGUUAAAAGUACUGUGUUGGUGAUGACUGAUAACAAUUCAUAAAAAUAUGGUGCUUCUGAAUGUACUAAUAAUGAAUGAUUUUGAUGCUUAAAACUAUUUGCCGAAUGUAUAUAUUGAUGAGUGAAGGUUUGGAAUAAACAUGAAGUUUCAUCUA